rnacentral:lncRNA from 1 species
ACUGUGCGCUGUUGUCACUUGCCACGUACAGCGGAAUCCAACGGGAAAAGCGCAACCGCCCCAUCAGGCACAGCUGUAGAAACCUUCUCAAGAAAUGUCAUAUCAAUGCGCCAGCGUCAGACAGUAAACUUCACAACAUGGACAAACUGCUGCAAGCACAUCCAUUUGUCGCUGAACAUACGCGCGUUACAAAUAUCCAAACCUAACGUUAAUUGACUUUCAGUAGAUUCUCAAGUGUUUAGGAAUUUCAUGCGCAUGGUUUAUCCAAUCUACUCACCAUUUUUUGGAGAUAAAUAAAUAUUAGAUUCCGUCUACGCCGCAACACGAGAUUAGUUACAGAGCAGAUCCAACAUCAUAAAUAUUCUCUGCAUCAUUUUAAGGACUGUAGGCAACUUUUCCACUGCUUUUUCCAAACGCGAUCCAACCACUCCCUGGCCCCGCCCUCCGCUGAUCUCUCAUUGGUUCAGCCUUUUGUUGCCGUUUUUUGAUUGGUUUCAAGUCAAGUCGAUCAGAUUCUCCGGGUCGAUGGACACACGCGUUCCAAUGUGUCACGUGAUGAGACUCGAACCGCUCUACUGCUUAUGCUUUACCACACAUCCAGGAUAUGCAUGUGAAGGGUGUGCUCAUCUCCAGGAGCAGUGUCACCAUAGGGAGGAAAUGACCCUGCCAGUUCCACACAACCGCCCCUGCAAACCCCGCCAGGGCGAAGAAGUGGUGAACAGCUAACGGCAGGUCAAAGGAACGAAACACCACAUUGGACAUGUGGAGGGCCAUGUUUUCAAACAGGAAGAAGCCCGUAGAAGUUAGAAUGUUGAACCAGGACCAGUCUUCCUGUCCGAGAAUCUUAUCAGAGAAGAGAACAGAUUCCUCCAUGAGGGCCCGAAGACCUGCCACAAUGCCCUGAAUGCCAAACACAGCCCGUGUUGCAGCCAAAUCCCAGAAAACCUAGAAAAUUUUUAAAUGGUAGAACAUGUUAAUGAUUUUUUAAUAAAGAAUUUAAUAAAGGUCUAUUAUGAUUCAAAAGAG